CCUGGCUCUGCGCGCCCAGACUGCACCCGGCAGGAGCGCGAGGUCGCUGCCGAGCCCUGCUGGUGUCCCCGCCCCUUGCUCCUGCAGAUAACGCUUAGAGACGCUUGGGCGCCCACCGUGGCAAGCUAACGAAGCAGCUCUCUUUCCGCCCCAAAGCUCUUGGUCUAACUUGGAGCGCUUUGCCUGCUACUUCUUCCAGGUUUGAAAGGAACCGAGGAGUCAGAGGCUCGCGUCCCCUGUAGUCAGCGCCCUCCUUGCUCAGGGACUCGCUGUGUCCGGGUCUCUCCUGAACAGGGCUGUGUGUUUGCAGUGGAGUGUGAAGACUGGAGGCGGCUGCAGAGGCCGGCCGUCCUGCUGGGCUCAGCUCCUGUAGGAAACUUCACACUGGAGAGGUAAGGGCGUUUCUAAAACUCAUCAUUCACUGGUCACACUGCUACUUUUUCCUAGCUCCCCUUUUCUUUUUAACUCUAAGUAAGAAUAAUAAAAAGCCAACUUGUUAAGAAUGGUCCAGCAUGGAGGAUAGGUGGGCUACUGAGAAAGCAGUGGCUGUGGAGAUGAGCGGGAUCUUGUUCUUGUAAGUGACUUUGUUGGUUUCACCACCUCCCCACAGGCGCGCUCUCCAUUGGGUUAAGUGUGCGCCUUUAGUAUAAGGGAGGAAAACCUCUGAAGUUGCUGGCUUUCUUGGAUGAGGUACAGAUUAG
rnacentral:lncRNA from 1 species